GCUAGCGACAGGCUUAACACAUGCAAGUCGAGGGGUUGCACAGGUAGCAAUACCGGGUGGCGACCGGCGCACGGGUGAGUAACGCGUAUGCAACUUGCCUAUCAGAGGGGGAUAACCCGGCGAAAGUCGGACUAAUACCGCAUGAAGCAGGGAUCCCGCAUGGGAAUAUUUGCUAAAGAUUCAUCGCUGAUAGAUAGGCAUGCGUUCCAUUAGGCAGUUGGCGGGGUAACGGCCCACCAAACCGACGAUGGAUAGGGGUUCUGAGAGGAAGGUCCCCCACAUUGGUACUGAGACACGGACCAAACUCCUACGGGAGGCAGCAGUGAGGAAUAUUGGUCAAUGGGCGUAAGCCUGAACCAGCCAAGUCGCGUGAGGGAUGAAGGUUCUAUGGAUCGUAAACCUCUUUUAUAAGGGAAUAAAGUGACCCACGUGUGGGUUUUUGUAUGUACCUUAUGAAUAAGGAUCGGCUAACUCCGUGCCAGCAGCCGCGGUAAUACGGAGGAUCCGAGCGUUAUCCGGAUUUAUUGGGUUUAAAGGGUGCGUAGGCGGCCUUUUAAGUCAGCGGUGAAAGUCUGUGGCUCAACCAUAGAAUUGCCGUUGAAACUGGGGGGCUUGAGUAUGUUUGAGGCAGGCGGAAUGCGCGGUGUAGCGGUGAAAUGCAUAGAUAUCACGCAGAACCCCGAUUGCGAAGGCAGCCUGCCAAGCCAUGACUGACGCUGAUGCACGAAAGCGUGGGGAUCAAACAGGAUUAGAUACCCCGGUAGUCCACGCAGUAAACGAUGAUCACUAGCUGUUUGCGAUACACUGUAAGCGGCACAGCGAAAGCGUUAAGUGAUCCACCUGGGGAGUACGCCGGCAACGGUGAAACUCAAAGGAAUUGACGGGGGCCCGCACAAGCGGAGGAACAUGUGGUUUAAUUCGAUGAUACGCGAGGAACCUUACCCGGGUUUGAACGCAUUCGGACCGAGGUGGAAACACCUCUUCUAGCAAUAGCCGUUUGCGAGGUGCUGCAUGGUUGUCGUCAGCUCGUGCCGUGAGGUGUCGGCUUAAGUGCCAUAACGAGCGCAACCCUUGCCACUAGUUACUAACAGGUAAAGCUGAGGACUCUGGUGGGACUGCCAGCGUAAGCUGCGAGGAAGGCGGGGAUGACGUCAAAUCAGCACGGCCCUUACAUCCGGGGCGACACACGUGUUACAAUGGCGUGGACAAAGGGAAGCCACCUGGCGACAGGGAGCGAAUCCCCAAACCACGUCUCAGUUCGGAUCGGAGUCUGCAACCCGACUCCGUGAAGCUGGAUUCGCUAGUAAUCGCGCAUCAGCCAUGGCGCGGUGAAUACGUUCCCGGGCCUUGUACACACCGCCCGUCAAGCCAUGGGAGCCGGGGGUACCUGAAGUCCGUAACCGCGAGGAUCGGCCUAGGGUAAAACUGGUGACUGGG
rnacentral:rRNA from 1 species